ACUUUCCGGGCCGUACACGCCGCGGAACCGGCAGAUAGGCUGACACAGCACCUGGGCCGAGCAGGCCUGCAGCUUCCCUCUGCGCGCUCACAACACUCUAGGAAGCUAUGGGAGCAGGUAGCAUCUAAAGGAACUGGUUUAAAUCCUAAUGCCAAAGUAUGGCAAGAAAUUGCUCCUGGAAAUACUGAUGCCACCCCAGUAACUCAUGGAACUGAAAGCUCUUGGCAUGAAAUAGCAGCUACAUCAGGUGCUCAUCCUGAGGGUAAUGCAGAGCUCUCAGAAGAUAUAUGUAAAGAAUAUGAAGUAAUGUAUUCUUCAUCUUGUGAAACCACAAGAAAUACUACAGGCAUUGAAGAAUCAACUGAUGGGAUGAUUUUAGGACCAGAAGAUCUGAGUUACCAAAUAUAUGAUGUUUCCGGAGAAAGCAAUUCAGCAGUUUCUACAGAAGACCUAAAAGAAUGUCUGAAGAAACAAUUAGAAUUCUGUUUUUCACGAGAAAAUUUGUCAAAGGAUCUUUACUUGAUAUCUCAAAUGGAUAGUGAUCAGUUCAUCCCAAUUU
rnacentral:lncRNA from 1 species